rnacentral:misc_RNA from 1 species
UGGUGAGUGAUUCCAGUAGUUUAUGUGCUGAUGAUUUUAUAAGUUUCGAGCUAGCAUCUGAGGUAGACGGACAGAAUUUGGUAGAUGCUGAGAAAAACAUUUGCAAUGUCAAACUUAUAGCUAAGGCUGGAGAUCUGGUAGAGUCAGGUGCUCAGGAGACAGAGAGCAAGCCUCUGGCAAUUGGGGAAAAACUUGAUGAGCAGAUUACGGAUGGCUCCAGCUCUAAAUCAGCUGAAGUUGUUGUUCAGCUACCUUUAGAUAAAGGGUUAAAUGCAGCAGUUGGCCGUAGUAUUUUUGAAGUGGAUUAUAUACCCCUUUGGGGAUUUACAUCUGUGUGUGGA